GUCUACGAUCAUAUUACGUUGAAUGCACCGCAUCCCGUCAGAUCUGCGAAGUCAAGCAACGUUAUGCCGAGCAAGCAUCAUGGUUGUAGACAACAUGGGAACCCUCCGUGUCGUAGGCA
rnacentral:rRNA from 1 species